rnacentral:lncRNA from 1 species
GCGCGCAUGGUUUGAAUUCGCCUCAACGUCUUGUUGAAUUAGUUCGACAAAGGAUCAGAUUGGUGAGAGGGUUGGCCGCGCGCGUUGCAUGUUUCAGUUGUAAAUGGUUGAAAUUUUAAUACAGUAUAGCAUGCAUGAGAGUUUCGGCUAGGUGCGCACAUGGUUUGAAUUCGCCUCAACGUCUUGUUGAAUUAGUUCGACAAAGGAUCAGAUUGGUGAGAGGGUUGGCCGCGCGCGUUGUAUGUUUCAGUUGUAAAUGGUUGAAAUUUUAAUACAGUAUAGCAUGCACGAUAGUUUCGGCUAGGUGCGCGCGUGGUUUGAAUUCGCCUCAACGUCUUGUUGAAUUAGUUCGACAAAGGAUCAGAUUGGUGAGAGGGUUGGCCGCGCGUGUUGCAUGUUUCAGUUGUAAAUGGUUGAAAUUUUAAUACAGUAUAGCAUGCACGAUAGUUUCGGCUAGGUGCGCGCGUGGUUUGAAUUCGCCUCAACGUCUUGUUGAAUUAGUUCGACAAAGGAUCAGAUUGGUGAGAGGGUUGGCCGCGCGCGUUGCAUGUUUCAGUUGUAAAUGGUUGAAAUUUUAAUACAGUAUAGCAUGCACGAUAGUUUCGGCUAGGUGCGCACAUGGUUUGAAUUCGCCUCAACGUCUUGUUGAAUUAGUUCGACAAAGGAGCAGAUUGGUGAGAGGAUUGGCCGUGCGCGUUGCAUGUUUUUAAUACAGUAGCAUGCAUGAGAGUUUCUGCUGCGGACGCAAUUUCAGCUUACCUUAUGAGCUUUAUAAUGGUUGAAAUUUUAAUACAGUUGCAUGAGAGGUUUCGAUUUCAUGCUUUUUUCCUGACUAUGUUUUUAUUUUUGUUUUUUUUUAUACUGAUGUGUGGCCGAAAUUAACAUGCUGAAAUAUCUGAGGGUAAGUGUUAAUCUUUAUUUCUCACAUUAUUGCCAGUUUGCAAUUACAGAGAUAGGUCGACUUUCAAAUGGUUCUAAUUUUAGCACAGUUGCAUGUAUGAGAGUUUUGGCUGAGGACGUAAUUUCAUUUUGCCUUAUGAACUUUAUAAUGGUUGAAAUUUUAAUACAGUUGCAUGAGAGAGGUUUCGGUUUCAUGUUUUUUUCGUGACUCUGUUUUUAUUUUUGUUUUUUUUAUACUGAUGUAUUGGAACCCCAUUAUUGCAGAGCUGAUCUUGGUGAUGUCAGCUAUGUAAAUUAU